CAUUUUGGUCCCGAUUCACUCGCUCCCGAGAGAGAGCUCGACUGCGGCGGCGACGGCGAGGCGUGCCCGCAGAUAAGACACGGCGGCGCGGCGGAGCAGCGUGCACAAGGACUUCGUCCCGCGCGCUCCUCCGUCGAGCGUAGCUCCGGUGACGCGGCGACGCAGUUGUGGGGCAUUUCGCCGGCGGCUGCCGGCGCAAGCUUUUGGCGGCGGCGACAUCCGAGGCGCGGAGGCCAGGCGAUGCGCACGUGCAUGAGAAUGGCAGCGGCGGCUGCUGCUUCAUUCCACGAGCCACCGCGAAGGGCGGCGGCGUCCUGGCCAUGGCGUGCGCGCACGACAGUGGCCGUGCGGACCCCGAAGGCCGGCAUCAUCUUGCUUUGGCGGCCGCUUAGCCGGCCCAGGGAGAGAGACGCCAUCACCUCCAUCAUCACCCAGCUAAUGGCCCUCCGAUUGACACCGCCGCUUCCCCCACCUCCUCCGGAACCAGAUUAGAUCGUCAUGUCGUCCACUCCGCCGCCAUCGUCUCGGAUUGUGUCUUCGUCCUUUUGUGUUGGGCGUGAUGUGCCGUGCCCACAACGAAACUUGGGUAUUGUGUGUGUGUCCGUGCUUGUUGGUGUGGUUCCUGACUUGCGGUGGCGUUGCGUUUGUGUGUGCGCUGUGUUCUGUUGUUACCUUGAUACUUUGUGCUUGGUGGGUGCUUUAUUUAUAAAGCGGGGCGAAAGCCUUUUUCGGUACA